GCAGGUCUGGUGCCCCGGGUUGCACUUGAGUUUAAAAGAUCAGUGCACCCCGAGUACCGCUGUUC
ensembl:miRNA mdo-mir-12305 mdo-mir-12305